rnacentral:lncRNA from 1 species
AAGGCUAUAUAUACCAAGACAUAGCUAGCGAAGUCAUGUAUCCCACACAUUCAUAGAAGCCACACAAAUCCUAUAUUGUACGAUUCUAAUAUCAAAGGGAUAGAGAAGGCUCUAGUGUAGGAGAUAUAAAAGCCAUAGCCAUGGCGAAACUCAUGUGCUUAUGUUUCAUCAUCCUCACUAUUGCGGUAGCCGUGUCGGCUGACGAAUGUGAGGGUGACCGACAGGCCAUGAUCAAGGAGUGUGCUAAGUAUCAAAAAUGGCCAGCAAACCCGAAGCUAAAUCCGUCGGACAAAUGCUGCGCCGUGUGGCAGAAGGCAAACAUCCCAUGCCUUUGUGCUGGUGUCACCAAGGAGAAAGAGAAGAUAUGGUGUAUGGAGAAGGUUGCCUAUGUUGCCAAUUUCUGCAAGAAGCCAUUCCCACACGGCUACAAGUGCGGAAGUAAGUGAAAUAUAUUAAGGGAAUCACGAUGAUCGGCAUUUCAUACAUGCAGUUUUGAUAUUUAUUAUUCUUUGGAGUCACACAACUUUGAUUUUAGUUAUGCAUUUUAUAUGUUUCUUGCGCUAUUCUGAUCAUAUGUUGGGUCAAAUUGAAUGGUCUUGCAGGUUACACAUUUCCUCCUCUGGCGUAGUGAUUCUAGUUUAGCCGCGGGAGGAGAAGCAUUGGCUUUUACAUUAUAUGUGUGUGGCCUCACAAGAGCUUCCCUUUCACAUUUGUAAUUCGUGAUGUUUUACUCAUAAUAGUUUAUGUUAAUCACUCUGUAUGAGAACGUUUGUGAAACUAAUAAAGUCUUCUCCUCAAAUUGUCUAAAUUAUGUUUGUUCAUACACAAUAUUUUUGGUUCUAUUUACGGCUCAUUGCAGGUGAAGGGAUCAAGGAUAUUAGAAGAAAUUACUGUUGUUAAAGCAACAACUUUCAUGUGCUUUUUAUAUCCAAAGUUAAUGGGUUCAUUUAUGGCUGAGCUCAACCAAUUUUUCAUCUUAGUAACUCUUAUUCCUCGACCCUGGCUGAUGCAAAGCUCCAAAUACAACUUACUUUGCUAAAAGUGAGGAGACUCAUGGGGAAGGGGAUGAGAAAGAUAAAUGGCAUAUUCAGUUAGUUGUAUAUAUGAUUUCACACACAAAUCUGGUGUAGUUCGAUUGUAACGGUUUACUUGGAUUUUGCAAUGCGUGCAACGUCUGCUUUGUACAAUGUAUACACUACUAGCUUUUUAUCACACGAAGUAUUUCAACUAGCAGCUAGGCUCCCUUAAGGUUCUUUUUAGCUUAUUCUUCUUUAGCUUAAUCUUAGAUUUUCAUUGGCUUGGGCUUGAUGAUUUCCACGUAGACACCGCGUGGGACUAGGUGGGAUGCUCGGGUAGGACUUCUCUAUGACAUGUAUAUCACAAAUUUGGGCAAGAAGGCUCUACUUUUCGUCUCUGUGACUAAGGGAACAUUAAUAUAGAAACAGUUAGAACGUGCAUAGAUAUACAAGAGGGAGGAGGAGAGUUAAGGACAAAAAAAUAGUUAAAGGUGGACCAAAGGUAUCACACCAGGCUACCAAAGUAGCCCUAAUUACAGAAGAUCAGAAACAGAAGGACCAUAGUCUGUUGUCCUCGGCGCAGAUGCACGACUUCUUUCUAAUAGAAGACACACACAACAUCAUCAGCUAUCAACGUAAUCUGCAAAAGAAGUCUUCAUUAGGAUAGGCAAUUGACAGAGCACACAUAUGCUUUCUCUAAAAGAGGGUCGAGCCCUUUUGGAAAAUAACAACUAAAAGGGUCUAUGAUACAUCACUUGUAUACACACAGGUCUGCUAGGGAGAAUAACCAUUUUUGAAUUUCAACCACGCGACUUGAGAAGCUCUAGUUUCUACUUGUAGCAGCCUGAGUUGAUCAAUCAUCCAAUUCUCAUCGAUGGCAAUCAUGUUAAGUUGAUUUCCUUCACCACUCUCGCAUUCAAAACAAAGAAAUUGGAAAAGCCAACUUCUUUCUCACCACCUUUGUAAUUCUUCAACACCAUUACUUUGAGAUGGUUCUCAAGGCAUUUCACUGGAUUUAGUAGUGGGUCAGACUGAGGAUGCAAGUUCUUCAUCUUUGCCUUCAAAUACUCCUCUCAUUGGGAAAUGCCAGAUACAUGGUAAAUAGGCAGUUGCUAACUAGACUAGAAUAUAUAACCGAGAAUCAAGAAUUUAUUUCAACAUUUAAGGCAAACAAAAAUGAGCACUUACAAUGACAUAGAACUUUUCCAAAAGGGGAAGCAACUCAGAAGAUUGAGAACGACAUCCAAAUCAGGGCCAGAAAACUUGAGGGCCAAAAUAUUCCUGGUGCAUAUCGAGUGGCCUAAGAUGGGCCAGAUUGUUCCCUAAAAAAUAAAACAAUGGACAUGAGAAACAAUUAUGCAUGCAUCUAGGAUUGCUAGCUGAAUGUGAGAGCCAAUAAGGGUGUUGUUGAUAGCUAGUUGGAUGCGACCAUUUUCCUAGAACUGGCUAUUUACACUCACAGUGCUAAGUAGUUGUCACUACAUGUCAAUGUGCAUAGAGGACGGCUCCAGAAGUCAAUGUUUGUAUUGCUAUGCCAGCUUGGGGUAAAUAGUAUGUUUAUCUUGUCUGUUCUUUUGUCCACUUCAUUAUUGUUGGUGUAUAUGUUGCAGGUCCCGAAGAUGGUCCAAUACCAUUAGGAUUGAAAGUAUGGAAGAACAUACCGUUGGUCGAAGAUACACAUGUGAUGGUGCUAAACCCGGUAGAUAUCGGGUAGGGGUCCCAAGCUGGUGAUCUUGGUACGAUGGUAACAUGACAAAGAAUGGACACGGUAUUUACUCAGGUUCGGGCUCUCUUAAAGAGGUAAAACCCUUUGUCUUGCUUUGUUGUAUUGAUUGUGGAUGGGGUAUAGAGUACAUGUUGAUCUACCUCGAGAUCAUAUGUGUGAAUGAACCUCUUUGUAGAUCUAAUGAUCUAAGUUGUAAUGAUCUAUUGACUAUCCUGGCGUCGGUUUAUAUAAUGUACCGGAGGCCUAGGAUUUAGAAGAGUCCUCGUCCUGUGCGCCAAGUCUUGUGGAAUAUCCAUUGUAUAUGUCAUGGGCUGCCCGAAGAAUCUUAGUAAUUAAUCGCCACGAGGGUCCUCGGCCCGGCCCUCCUGUCCGUGAGACGACAUGGCGAGCACCCCCAACAUGUUCCUUCUGGUCCAUAAAAAACCUCCGUAAAGUUUUGUGGCAUUUGGACUCCGUCUGAUAUUGAUUUUUUGCGAUGUAAAAAACAUGGAAAAACAGGAACUGACACUUGGCACUAUGUCAAUAGUUUAGUACCAAAAAAUGAUAUAAAAUGACUAUAAAAUGAUUAUAAAACAUCCAAAAUUGAUAAUAUAACAACAUGGAACAAUAAAAAAUUAUAGAUACGUUGGAGACGUAUCAGCAUCCCCAAGCUUAACUCCUACUCGUCCUCGAGUAGGUAAGUGAUAAAAAUAGAAUUUUUGAUGUGGAGUGCUGUUUAACAUGUCAUAUCAUAUUCUUUUCUUUAUAGCAUGGACAUUUGGACUUUUUAUGUGAUUCAAAGCAAUAGUCUAGUUUUGACAUAAUAAUUUAGAUACUCAAGCAUAUCAACAAGCAACCAUGUCUUUCAAAAUAUCAACGCUAAAAUAAGUUAUCCCUAGCCCAUCAUGAUCAAACUUUGAUCCAUUCAUGAAACACACUCAAAUAUUAGCUACACCCAAUACUUAAGUACGAUCAUAUUGCCUCCUAGUUGGUGCUUUUUAUAAGAGAAAAUGGAGACUCAAAUUCAAAAAUAAAAAUUGCAUAAAGUAGAAGAAAGGCCCUUCGCAGAGGGAAGUAGGGAUUUGUAGAGGUGCCAGAGCUCGAAGCGAAAAACUUAGAGAUAAAUACAUUUUGGGAGGUGUAUCCAUCCCACCAACUAAUAGUUCCCAAUACUUUUCAUGCAUAGAUAUAUCAUAGGCGGUUCCCAAACAGAAAAUAAAGAUUAUUCCUUUUUCCACCAUAACUUUCACUUUCCAUGGCUAACCGUAUCCACGGAUGCCCUCCAUACCAACACUUUCCAAGGAAUUUAUUAUUUGACAACAUAAAGUAAAUUCAUUUUUGCAUUUCGGGACUGGGCAUCCCUAAUACCUUUGCUUUACUCUCGUGUAAUGACAAGUGAAUAAACACUCAUCUUGAGAAUAACAUAUCUAGCAUGGAAAAUAUUAGCCACCCCUCACCGCUCCGCGAGCGAAACAAACACACAAAAAAGAAGUUUAUUUUGAAAAUUAGAGAUGACACAUACAAAUUUGCUUAGAACAACAAAAGAAUACCACAUAUAGGUAGAUAUAGUGGACUCAUGUGGCAAAACUGGGUUAAAGGUUUUUGGAUGCACAAGUAGUGAUCAUACUUAGUGCAAAAUGAAGGCUAGCAAAAGAUUGGGAAGUGACCAACUAAGAAACAGAUAAUCUCAUAAGCAAGCAUUAAGCAUAAUCAACACCGAAUAAUGCACCACAAGUAGGAUAUAAUUUUCAUUGCAUGAUUAUUGACUUUCGUGCAUGCAUAGGGAAUCACAAACCUUAACACCAAUAUUCUUACUAGAGCACAAUUGCUCAUCAACAUAACUCACAUAUCACAUCAUCAUAUCUCAAAACUAUUACUAAGAAUCAAUUUUAUUUUGUCCAAUGAUCUUCAUGACAUUUUUUUCUUUAUCCUUCUUGGAUAUCUAUCACUUUGGGACUAAUUUUCAUGUGUUUCUUUUCAUAAGCUCAAACAAAUAUAAGUGAAGAUCAUGAGCAUAAUAAAUUUUUCUUUCUCUCAAAAUAAUUUAAGUGAAGCAAGGGAGAAUUUCUUCGAAAAUACUAAGCACACCAUGCUCAAAAAGAUAUAAGUGAAGCACUAGAGCAAGUCCUAGCUCAUAAAAAAAUUUAAGUGAAGUAUAGAAAGCAAUUCUAACAAGUCAUGACAUAAUUUUGGCUCUCUCUAAUAGGUGUGUCCAGUAAGGAUUGAUGACUUAAAACACAAAAUAAAACAAGCAAAGACUCAUAUCAUACAGGACGCUCCAAGCAAAAAACAUAUCAUGUGACGAAUAAAAAUAUAGUUUCAAGUAAAAUACCGAUGAUUGUUGGAAGAAAGCGGGGAUGCCACUCGGGGGCAUCCCCAAGCUUAGUUGGUUGCUCAUUUUUGGAUAAUAGCUUGGGAUGCCGGGGCAUCCCUCAGCUUAGGCUCUUCCAUCCUUCCUUCAUCCAUCGUAAGAUAACCCUAAACUUGAAAACUUAAAUCACACAAAACUCAACAAAACCUUCGUGAGAUCCGUUAGUAUAAGAAUAAUAAACCACUACUAUAAGUGUUGUAUCAAACCAAUUCAUAUUUUGUUUUUGUAUUAUAUCUACUAUAUUCCAACUUUUUUAUGGAAAAAACUCAUCAAAGAAAACCAUAGAGCCAUCAGAAUAAGCACACAACACAAAGAAACCAGAAUAUGUCAAAAGAGAACAAUCUGUAGCAAUCUGACUAUUUCGAAUACUUCUGUAACUCCAAAAAUUCUAAAAAAUUAGGAAGACCUGAGAAAUAUGUAUAUUGAUCUACUUCAAGUGGAACAGGUAUUUUAUCGCUCUUUGGUAAAAUAUAAAAAUUAAUCUUGUGAGCGUAAAAGUUUCUAUUUUUUCAGCAAGAUCAAACAACUAUCAUCCAAGAAGAUCCUAAAGGCUUUACUUGCACAAACACUAAUUAAAACACAAAAAAUACAAUCAUAAUAGUAGCAUAAUUAUGCUAACACACAAAACCAGAAAGCAAAAAGCAAAAAUAUAUUUUAUUCAUUUGGUUGCCUCCCAACAAGCGCUAUAGUUUUACGUCCAUAGCUAGGCAUAAAGCAAUGAUCUAAGUUUUGUCAUCUUUGGUUCGAGAUCCAUAAGAUGCCCUCAUGAUUGAUUCAUAAGGUGGCUUAAUUCUAAUUCUAGGAAAGUGUUCCUGUGACGCCCCGAGACCGACGCUUCAGAAGACUUCCAUAUUUUGGUGAUCGCCGUGUGUUUCAUUUGUGCUUGCUCUUUUAUCUUUGCAUUGCAUCAUGUCAUCAUGCCAUCAUGUCAUUAAUCUUUGCAACUCAAAUAAAUAAAAUGUAUGGAUUUUCAGUCCAUUUAAACCGAGGGAAUUCACAUGGUGAUUCUCUUUAUAACAUAUCCUCCCAAUAUUAGGGAGCUAUAUUAAAUAUUCCAUUUUCGGAAUCACCCAUAAACACACUUGCAAAUAAUCACAUGCCUUUUCCCGCUUCAAGUUUGGUCCCCAAACUUUGAACAUAUUUUCUUUCAUCGCUUUCCUGAUCUCCACAAAAAAUCCGAAUAUUUUUGGACACUCUGAAAUCCUACACUCCAUUCAUACUACUUUGGUGCAAGUUAAAUAAUUUUGGAUUUAAGUUCCCUGAUUUUUGCCGGAACCAUUUUUGUUGGGUUGGAAAUAUUCCAUUUAGCCCUACAGAAUAUGUCCCACCAUCUAAUUCUUGUUCAUGGUCUUUUCUCUUAAUUAUUUUGACCUCUCUCUCUCUAUUUUUUUCUUCAUCUAAAGGGAAUAAGGGAGAGAGGAAGAGACCAGCCAAACCUCUUGGGCCUCCUAUAGCCGGCGGCCACUAGGCCAAGGCCCAGUCGAACCUCCCUUGCCUAACCCUAGCCCGUAGCCCCGCACUCUGCUCGUUCCCCUCCUCUCGAUCUCUCCAUCUCGUCCCCCACACCGCCGCCACUCACACACACACACAGACACACACACACACACACACACACGCAUCGGGCCAGGGAGAGGAGCUCCCUGCACCUGAUCCCCUCGCCGCCUCCACCGCGAGACCCCCACGUCCGACCUCCUCCUUGCCGCCCUUGGUGCCGCGCCACCGGACCUUACCAUCGCCCUCAUCGUCGACCAUCACUGCCCCUGCAGCCUCCCCUCCUCUGCGUCGUUGCCUCCCAUGGUGCCGCGCCCGGCCUCCCGCGCCACCACCAUCUCCAGUCGCAUGCAUCGUCACCUUCCCCUCGUCGGCCUCCUCUGCAUCGCCCGGCCUCCCUUCGUCUGCUCCCUUCGCACCUCCGGCCGCCCCUUCGCGCGCCCUAUGCCACAGCCGCCCGACGCCUCUGCUUGUCCCGCUCCUCAUGGCCGGCGUAGAGCUUCCAGCCUCCGACAGCAGCAGCUACAAGUCCGGCAGUCCUAGCAGCGUCAUGGCCUUGCCUCCUCCAUCAGCUACUCCACCCUCGGCCAUCCCCAUGACCACCAUCUGCGCCACCUAUGCCUGCUGUCGCCGCCACCCUCGCUAGCUCCGCGUCCGUGCCUCUGCUGCUGGUCCUUGCUGUCGAGAGACUCGUCGACGGCCUCCUCCUUGCCUCUGCACGCCGGCACCUGUUGUUGCUGGACGCAAGUUUGCCCAUGAUGUAUAUGCCAAGACCCCGAGAUCGACUUCACGAACUGGAAGUACCCCUUUGAGUUCGUCAAGGCCCUCAUGUACCACUACAGCCGGUGUGUUUUUUGUCAAGUCCAACUACGACAUAAACGACUACACAAUGACUCCGAAGAACAUGGAAACGCCAAGUUCCCCUCCGAACAUGAACGACUACACCCAGGGAUGGGACUAGUACCCCGACAACGUGUACCACUACGCCCAAUUUCCAUUACCGAAGACCGCGAGUACAACUACGUCCACAGCGCGUCGUGUAUGACUACCGUCGCUUGGGUGCAACGAAACACCAAGUACCACGACGACAAUCGACAUGUACCCCUACACCGCACCGAAACACCGAGUACCUCGUCGUGACCCCGAACAUCUACGGAAACUUGUGCGACUAUGAACAUGAACAACUACCAUCGUCGUGGAUCCGACAAGUUUGCAAGUACAACUACUUCCUCUGCGACCCGUGAGAACAACUACUUUCACCACCGUCGCGAGAACAACUACUUCCCUCGACGUACCCGAAACGCUCCGAGAAUGCACCCUUGGAAGGUAUAACCGCCGGAACGAUGCCCAUGAACGAAUGCAUGUGUUGUAUGAGAUGCAUGUUUAGAUGUUGUAUUCGCCCGUGAACGUUAGUUGUUCCUCCUCGUUGCCAUGCCGUCCACCCGUAGGAACCUGGUUACUGGGAUCACCCCCACCAUCUUUUGCACGCUCCCGCCACACUACCUUUUGCAUCGGUAUCUCCGUGAGCUACCGGAACCGAUAUGUUGCCGUGGUAUCAUUUUCGGAUUCAUUGCAGUGGCACCCCUUUUCGUUUCCGCCACAAUGACAAAUGCUUCAUAAUAUGCUCAUGUCAACAUUCUCAUAAAAUUGCAUAAACUUGCAUAUGUCAUCCGCAUCAUGAUAACAACAUCAAGAAUGUUUAAAAUUGGUGUUUGCAUUAAAUUGCUAAUGCACAUGAGGAUUUAUCGGAAUUGUUGUUUGAUGUUUCUGGCCUCAUUUAAAAUGCCUAACUGUGUAUUCUACUCAUGUUUCACCUCUUGCCAUGUUAACAACAUUUAAUAUUGUUGAGUUCAUAACCGAGGUCGAACUAAAUAAGUCAUGUGGUGUUUCGUCAAUAUGCAACUCGUUGCAUAUUGAGCUCCACUUAAUUUGUAGUAUUGUUUGUUGCACUUUGCCAUGCCAUGCCUUGUUAAACCAGACAUGCAUCAUACUUGGUUGUGCAUUAUGCCAUGUUUAUGUGAUGGUUGUUUACUAUAUUGUUUGCUUCUUUCCGGGUUGCUUCUCUCGUUAGCUUUGGUUCCGUUCCGGAGUUGUGAGGAUUCGUUCAACUACGUACGUUUGUCUUCUUCAUGGACUCGUUCUUCUUCCUUGCGGGAUCUCAGGCAAGAUGACCAUACCCUCGAAAUCACUUCUAUCUUUGCUUGCUAGUUGCUCGCUCUAUUGCUAUGCCGCGAUACCUACCACUUGUUAUAUCAUGCCUCCCAUAUUGCCAUGUCAAACCUCUAACCCACCUUUCCUAGCAAACCGUUGUUUGGCUAUGUUACCGCCUUUGCUCAGCCCCUCUUAUAACGUUGCUAGUUGCAGGUGAAGAUGAAGAUUGUUCCAGGUUUGUACAUGGAUAUUGUUGGGAUAUCAUUAUUAUAUCUUUUUUUACUUUAAUGCACCAAUAUACUUGGUAAAAGGUGGAAGGCUCGGCCUUAUGCUUGGUGUUUUGUUCCACUCUUGCCGCCCUAGUUUCCGUCAUACCGGUGUUUUGUUCCUUGAUUUUGCGUCCCUUAUGCGGUUAGGUGUUAUGGGAACCUCUUAACAGUUUGCUUUGAAUAAAACUCCUCCAGCAAGGUCGAACCUUGGUUUUACCAUUUGCCUCACCACCACCUAUACUUUUCCCUUGGGAGUUGCGCUCCCGAGGGUCAUCUUACUUUACCCCUCGGGCCAGUGCUUCUCUAAGUGUUGGUCCGAACCAGAGCACCGUGCGGGACCAUCCCUUGGCAACUUGGGUUAUGUUGGUACGUAUACGCUUAGCUUAUCCGGUGUUGCCCUGAGAAUGAGAUAUGUGCAGCUCCUAUCGGGAUGUCGGCACAUCGGGCAGUCUUGCUGGUCUUGUUUUACCAUUGUAGAAAUGUCUUGUAACUGAGAUUCCGAGACUGAUCGGGUCUUCUCGGGAGAAGGAAUAUCCUUCUUUGACCGUGAGAGCUUGUGAUGGGCUAAGUUGGGACACCCCUAUAGGGUUUGAAGUUUCGAAAGCCGUGCCCGCAGUUAUGGGCAGAUGAGAAUUUAUUAAUAUUCGAUUGUAGAGAACUUGACACUUGACUUAAUUAAAAUGCAUCAACCGCGUGUGUAGCCGUGAUGGUCUCUUCUCGGCGGAGUCUGAGAAAUGAACACGGUUCUUGUGUUAUGCUUGAACGUAAGUAGUUUCAGGAUCACUUCUUGAUCACUUCUAACUUCUCGAUCGUUGCAUUGCUUCUCUUCUCGCUCUUAUUUGCGUAACUUAGCCACCAUAUAUGCUUAGUGCUUGCUGCAGCUCCACCUCACUACCCUUUCCUACCCAUAAACUUAAAUAGUCUUAAUCUCGCGGGUGUGAAAUUGCUGAGUCCUCGUGACUCACAGAUACUUCCAAACAGUUGCAGGUGCCGAUGAUACCAGUGCAGAUGACGCAACUGAGCUCAAGUGGGAGCUCGAAGAUCUUUUUGUUACUAUGUUUCUUUUCCGGAUGAUCAGUAGUGGAGCCCAUUUGGUGCGAUUGGGGAUCUAGCAUUUGUGGUUGUCUUUCUUAUUUUGGGUUCCGUUGUCGGACCUUGUUUGCAUUCUGGAUGAUGUAUGAUCUAUUUAUGUAUUGUGUGAAGUGGCGAUUGUAAGCCGACCUGUGCGCAGGAGGCGAAGGUGAAGUUAGGAGUAAGCAGGUAAGGAGAGGAAGAGAAACAAAAGGAGUCCAUGUGGGAGAGGGUGAGGUUUACUUAAUCAAAUGGCUACAUAGAUAGCUUGAAGGUAGACCAGACAGAUGUUAUUCCGACAAAUUCUCUAGGAUUAACGCGAGUCCUCGAAAGGAGCCUCUAGUUAGUACUCCUUCCGUUCCAAAAUAGAUGACUCAACUUUGUAUAAAGUUAGUACAAAGUUGAGUCAUUUAUUUUGGAACCGAGGGAGUAACUCUUAAGAUAGUGGUGCUUUAUUACUGUGUUGCAACUUAGCAAUAAAUCAAUUUUAAUCAAUCUGCCUUGACUCUUGCUGGAUCUGUCAGCCAUCGAAUACUUCCAGGCCUGGUUGUGACCAUCUAUCUGAGAAGUGGCUGUUUACACUAGCGGAGCUAAAUAGUUCUCACUACAUGUCAGAUUGUAUAGAGGACAACUCCAGAAGUCAAGGUCUAUAUAUAUUUCCAGUUUGGGUAAUAAUUGUUUGCUUACCUUGUCCUUUCAGUUGCUUCAUUGUUGCUGUAUAUGUCAGGUCCUGAAGACAGUCCAGCAUCAGUAGGAUUGAAAGUAUGGAAGACCGUGCCAUUUGUUGAAGAUACACUCGUCUCUGGAACAGAAGCUGUAGAACUUGUUGCCUGACUACUGAAACAUUGUUGUGAAACACACUUGGUCCAGCACCAAUAGGUUUUGGUCUCUGCCCACUGAAACGUCAUUUUUCCUGUGUUGGCUCUUUUCUCUUGGUGGAAACAUUGUUGGUCUGAGCUGCCAUUCAAUGGCUGGCAUUACAUUACCAUAUGUAUCUUCAGAGUUUGUUUGCACAACAAUGGCUGGUAUUUUUAUCAAGGAAAGCACACUCUUAAUCUAUCUAGAAUGUUAUAUGGGAUGCAAUGCACUUGAGGUGGUUCUCAGCCACAAAUGACGGUCGACAGUCAAGGGGAAUGUACUAGGCUUCCUAGAACAAUUUAGCUCGUUCUUCAAUCUCUAGGAUGAUGUGACCGCAAUAACAUCCUCUCCUGCAACGAUUCAAGUUCUUUGCCACUGAGCAGUCGUCAACCCACCAAAUCACGCAUACCAGAUCGCCCACACUGUCAAGCACUUUCACCCUAUUCUUCAUGUUUCAAGUGAUCAAUCAGAGUAAAAGGUCAUUCCAGUUUAUGGGGUUCUCGCCGGUUCUGCAAUAGUUUGGUCACGUACUCGUCAGCCACAGCCCAUAGACACACUGACAUUGUGCACUCCAGACGGGAAUGCCUUACCCUUGAGGAAUCCAUGUGACCGUGUAUCUUGCAUCUCGUGUAACAUGCAUUCCUAUGAACUACUUCCUCCGUAUCGAUGCAUUAAUCAUUUUACGAAAACCAUAUAGUCUCAAAACACUCUGGGGUGGUGCAUUAACUCUCACCUUAUUUCUUAUUUCUUGACAUGAAUAAAUGAAUCAACCAAUAAGAGAUGUGGGGCGUGUAUGUUUUUAAUGAGUUGAGACUACCUACCACGGCAUGCAGUGGUUAAUUCAUUGCAUGCAAUGGUAUUAAUUAGCUAAUGAACAUUACGCUCUCUUGUUUUCCCUUCGUUUUGGUCCUGAUGCACAACGUAAGAUGACUUAGACUACCCAUAGUGGGGAGUAACUUUAGUAACAUGCAUAUGUUACUAGUCUAUGUUACUACCUGCAUAACGAGGAGUAACAUAUGUAUGGUGUCAUGCAAUACUCCAUUUAUUAGGUUAUAGACUCAUCUUGUUUUGGUAUGUGUGAUGUUACUCAUAGUAUGAAUAACAUACAAUGUUACCAUAUGCCUCUUUUUCCUUAUUAAUUUCUUGCCACAUCAUCUAUCAUCUAUUUUACCUAGUUAUGUGUGAUGUUAUCAUCUACUUUACUCUCACUAUGGAGUACGGAGAGAGUGGCAUGAUUCUGCCGUGAGAAGUGAGUGCUUGGCAAGCCGCGACAAAAAUACCCUGAUCUUUACCGGCACUUGGACUCUUCAAAGAGAUGCCCAGUUCUUCUCCAACUGUCUUGUUGGAGUUCGACGCUCUACCUUCCAGCCACGCCUCCCAUCUUCCCUUGGUGCAAGCGAGCAUGAUGAGAACACUUGUUUGCAAAUAGUUUUACUUGUUUUAAGUACCACUUUAUGUAUUACCUUUAACAAAUUUUCCACGGCAAUGCGCAGGGAUCAUCUAAUAGUAUACAAAUAGGUACCCCGAUAGAAAAAAGAUACGUGGGCUCAAUCAGUAGCGGAGAGCGGCAUGGAAGUAAGAUGGGGCCAAUUGAUAAGCCAAAUUAAUAGCACUGGCAAAAUAAUAAAAAUUGUCUCACAUGGGCCAACAAUUACAGAUUUAUUAGGCCUCGUAAGCGGGUUGCGCCUUCCCCUCAGAAGCUCCCCUCCUGAGUUCAACCUUAUUUUUUCUGAGAUACAGGUCCAUUAAUGUACAUGUCUAGUGUCUUAUACUAGUGUGAUUUAUAGAAUUCAAUGCAUAUUUCCAAAGUGCGAUGCAAUAUUGUAGCAAUUUGCCGUUAAUGUUGUAGCUUGUAGAUGUGCAACUAAUGUAUACAUUUAUUUUUUGAUGCAGUACCAUAUCUUAAAAAGUUAAUAUAAUUAAUCUAAUGUUGUAGCCCGUAGAUGUGCAAUUAAUGUACACAUUCCUUUUUUGAUGCAGUAAUAUAUCUUCAAGAUAUAUAUAAUUAAUGUAAUGUUAUACGCCCGUAGAUGUGCAACUAAUGUACACAUUCAUUUUUUUGAUGCAAUACCAUAUCUUCAAGAUAUAUAUAAUAAUGUAUUGUUGUAGCGUGUAGAUAUGCAACUAAUGUACACAUUCAUUCUUUUCAUGCAGUGCCAUAUCUUCGAGAUAUAUCAUAUAUACAACUAAUGUGUGUAAAACAUGUCGAUAUGAAGUUAAUGUACACAUUUAUUGUUUGAUGCUAUUUCAUAUCUUAAAGGUCUAGCCUGUAGAUAUAAAGUUAAUGUACACAUUCAUUAUUUGAUACAAUAUCGUAUCUUCAAGAUAUAGAACUAAUGUAUGAUGUAGCCUCUGUUGAAACCGCUCUCUCACACUGAUAGAUGGAGAUAGAAGAAGAAGGAGCACACAAUACAAUGGAGUUUCACCCGGCUUCACAUCCCCGUUAGUCUUCCGAGAGCCCCAAAAACUCUCCCCUCAACAAAUACACUCGUGGUCAUGGCUUUGUAGUGGCACAGCAACGCAGCGCCCACGUUUCCUUGUGCGCAUGUACGCACGCCGCCUAGCUAGCUACCCUACAUGCAAUCCAUCAGCCCGGCCAUGCGCACUACAUGCGCGCUACGCGCACGACGCGACCAUCUCCACCGGUCACCACUAACAAUCAGCUAACUAACUCACACGCAACAAGCAAACUUGGCCGGCACACUUGCCAAUGCCCUGCUCUACGUGCCAGACUCGAGUGUAUACACGCUACACACACAUACGCCACGCUUCUGCGUCCCGUACGUCCCGCCCGUCCCGCAUGUCACCGACACGCCCGACAAGCCCGACGAGCCCGACGGCACCAGUGUGCCCCGCCCGUCCCGCGCGCACCCGACGCGCCCGACGAGCCCGAUCACACACGCCGUGGCUUAUUCCAACACACACCACUUAAGCCACGGCCUAGAGGAGUCCGUCAUCGUCGACGUUGGCGCCGGCCAAGAGUGCAUGCUCCGCCGCCGGUCCUUUCCGCAGCUGCGGGCACUCGCGCCGGAAGUGACCGUGCUCCCCGCACUUGUAGCAGCGCCUGCGUCUGUUGCCGCCGCUCCCCGACGCCACGAUGCACCCGUCGUCGUCGUCCCGAGCACCGCCGUGUCGACGCUCCCAUGCUGCCCACUGCGCAGCCGUCAUGAGCAGCUGCUCACCUCCGUGCUCGCCGCCAUCUUGUCCACGGCGCCGAACCCGCUCGUCGAACGCACGCAGCCGCCCGAGCGCUUUGUCGAACGCAAUCAUCGUCACAUCGUGGAACUGCUCGAUGCCGGCGACGACGGGGAAGAGGCGAUCCGGCACCAUAUCCAGCAACUUCUUGACAAGUGCCGCGUCGCCCAGCGUCUCCCCGAGGUUGGCAUACCUCGCCGCCAUCGCCGCGAGCCUCCCGCCGUACACGUCGAGCUCCUCGCCGUCCGCCAUCUUCAUCCGGUCGAAUUCGCCACGCAGCGUCCCCAGCCUCGCCGCGCGGACCCGAUCAGCGCCGACGAACCUCACCUUCAGGGAGUCCCAUACCUCCCUGGCGGUGAGCUUCGUAGACACCUUCAGCAGCACAUCCUCCGGCAAUGCCCCGAGAAGCAACGCGCGCGCCAUCUUGUCCUUCCGCGCGUUCACCGCCGUGUCGCCCGGCGCCACCGCCUCCCACACGGUGUGGACGUCGAGGAUCGCCUGCGCCUUGAUGGCCCAGACCAUGUAGUUGUCCGCGAUCAGCAAAGGCAUCGCCAUAGUCGCCGAUCCGCCCGCGCCGCCGCCGUGUGGGACGAGUGCCAUGGUCGACGGUGAUCGCCCGAACUAAAGCUCUGUAUAUCAAUUGUUGAAACCGCUCUCUCACACUGAUGGAUGGAGACAGAAGAAGAAGGAGCACACAGUACAAUGGAGUUUCACCCGGCUUCACAGCCCCAUUACUUUUCCCAGAGCACCAAAAACUCUCCUCAGCAAAUACACUCGUGGUCAUGGCUUUGUAGUGGCACAACAACGCAGCGCCCACGUUUCCUUGUGCGCACGUACGCACGCCGCCUAGCUAGCUACCCUGCAUGCAAUCCAUCAGCCCGGCCAUGCGCACUACAUGCGCGCUACACGCACGACGUGGCCACAUCCACCGGUCACUGCUAACAAUCAGCUAACUAACUCACACGCAUCAAGCAAACUUGGCUGGCACACUUGCCAACGCCCUGCUCUACGUGCCAGACUCGAGUGUAUACACGCUACACACACAUACGCCACGCUUCUGCAUCCCGCACGUCCCGCACGUCCCGCACGUCACCGACUCGCCCGACAAGCCCGACGAGCCCGACGGCACUAGUGUGUAUCGCCCGUCCCGCGCGCACCCGACGAGCCCGAUCACACAAGCUAUGCCUUAUUCCAACACCUAGAUGUAUAAUUAAUGUAUACAUUAAUUGUCUGACACGGUGCUAUAUCUUCAUGACAUACAACUGGUGUAUGCAUCUGUAUCAUCAUCUCAAAGAAGGCUAUAUAUACCAAGACAUAGCUAGCGAAGUCAUGUAUCCCACACAUUCACAGAAGCCACACAAAUCCUAUAUUGUACGAUUCUAAUAUCAAAGGAAUAGAGAAGGCUCUAGUGUAGGAGAUACAAAAGCCAUAGCCAUGGCGAAACUCAUGUGCUUAUGUUUCAUCAUCCUCGCUAUUGCGGUAGCCGUGUCGGCUGACGAAUGUGAGGGUGACCGACAGGCCAUGAUCAAGGAGUGUGCUAAGUAUCAAAAAUGGCCAGCAAACCCGAAGCUAGAUCCGUCGGACGCAUGCUACGCCGUGUGGCAGAAGGCAAACAUCCCAUGCCUUUGUGCUGGUGUCACCAAGGAGAAAGAGAAGAUAUGGAGUAUGGAGAAGGUUGCCUACGUUGCCAAUUUCUGCAAGAAGCCAUUCCCACAUGGCUACAAGUGCGGAAGUAAGUGAAAUAUAUUAAGGGAAUUAUGAUGAUCGGCAUUUCAUACAUGCAAUUUUGAUAUUUAUUAUUCUUUGGAGUCACACGACUUUGAUUUUAGUUAUGCAUUUUAUAUGCUUCUUGCGCUAUUCUGAUCAUAUGUUGGGUCAAAUUGAAUGGUCUUGCAGGUUACACAUUUCCUCCUCUGGCAUAGUGAUUCUAGUUUAGCCGCGGGAGGAGAAGCAUUGGCUUUUACAUUAUAGGUGUGUGGCCUCACAAGAGCUUCCCUUUCACAUUUGUAAUUCGUGAUGUUUUACUCAUAAUAGUUUAUGUUAAUCACUCUGUAUGAGAACGUUUGUGAAACUAAUAAAGUCUUCUCCUCAAAUUGUCUAAAUUAUGUUUGUUCAUACACAAUAUUUUUGGUUCUAUUUACGGCUCAUUGCAGGUGAAGGGAUCAAGGAUAUUAGAAGAAAUUACUGUAGUUAAAGCAACAACUUUCAUGUGCUUUUUAUGUCCAAAGUUAAUGGGUUCAUUUAUGGCUGAGCUCAACCAAUUUUUCAUCUUAGUAACUCUUAUUCCUGGACCCUGGCUGAUGCAAAGCUCCAAAUAUAACUUACUUUGCUAAAAGUGAGGAGACUCAUGGGGAAGGGGAUGAGAAAGAUAAAUGGCAUAUUCAGUUAGUUGUACGUAUGAUUUCGCACACAAAUCUGGUGUAGUUCGAUUGUCACGGUUUACUUGGAUUUUGCAAUGCGUGCAACGUCUGCUUUGUACAAUGUAUACACUACCAACUUUUUAUCACACGAAGUAUUUCAACUAGCAGCUAGGCUCCCUUAAGGUUCUUUUUAGCUUAUUCUUCUUUAGCUUAAUCUUAGAUUUUCAUUGGCUUGGGCUUGAUGAUUUCCACGUAGACACCGCGUGAGACUAGGUGGGAUGCUCGGGUAGGACUUUUCUAUGACAUGUAUAUCACAAAUUUGGGCAAGAAGGCUCUACUUUUCGUCUCUGUGACUAAGGGAACAUUAAUAUAGAAACAGUUAGAACGUGCAUAGAUAUACAAGAGGGAGGAGGAGAGUUCAGGACAAAAAAUAGUUAAAGGUGGACCAAAGGUAUCACAACAGGGUACCAAAGUAGCCCUAAUUAUAGAAGAUGAGAAACAGAAGGACCAUAGUCUGUUGUCCUCGGCGCAGAUGCGCGACUUCUUUCUAAUAGAAGACACACACAACAUCAUCAGCUAUCAACGUAAUCUGCCAAAGAAGCCUUCAUUAGGAUAGGCAAUUGAUAGAGCACACAUAUGCUUUCUUUGAAAGAGGGUCGACCCCUUUUGGAAAAUAACAACUAAAAGGGUCUAUGAUACAUCACUUGUAUACACAUAGGUCUACUAGGGAGAAUAACCAUUUUUGAAUUUCAACCGUGCGACUUGAGAAGCUCUAGUUUCUACUUGUAGUAGCCUGAGUUGAUCAAUCAUCCAAUUCUCAUUGAUGGCAAUCAUGUUAAGUUGAUUUCCUUCACCACUCUCGCAUUCAAAACAAAGAAAUUGGAAAAGCCAACUUCUUUCUCACCACCUUUGUAAUUCUUCAACACCAUUACUUUGAGAUGGUUCUCAAGGCAUUUCACUGGAUUUAGUAGUGGGUCAGACUGAGGAUGCAAGUUCUUCAUCUUUGCCUUCAAAUACUCCUCUCAUUGGGAAAUGCCAGAUACAUGUUAAAUAGGCAGUUGCUAACUAGACUAGAAUAUAUAAACGAGAAUCAAGAAUUUAUUUCAACAUUUAAGGCAAACAAAGAUGAACACUUACAAUGACAUAGAACUUUUCCAAGAAGGGGAAGCAACUAAGAAGAUUGAGAAUGACAUCCAAAUCAGGGCCAGAAAACUUGAGGGCCAAAAUAUUCCUGGUGCAUAUCGAGUGGCCUAAGAUGGGCCAGACUGUUCCCUAAAAAAUAAAACAAUGGACAUGAGAAACAAUUAUGCAUGCAUCUAGGAUUGCUAGCUGAAUGUGAGAGCCAAUAAGGGUGUUGUUGAUAGCUAGUUGGAUGCGACCAUUUUCCUAGAACUGGCUAUUUACACUCAUAGUGCUAAGUAGUUGUCACUACAUGUCAAUGUGCAUAGAGGACGGCUCCAGAAGUCAGUGUUUGUAUUGCUAUGCCAGCUUGGGGUAAAUAGUAUGUUUAUCUUGUCUGUUCUUUUGUCCACUUCAUUAUUGUUGGUGUAUAUGUUGCAGGUCCCGAAGAUGGUCCAAUACCAUUAGGAUUGAAAGUAUGGAAGACCAUACCGUUGGUCGAAGAUACACAUGUGAUGGUGCUAAACCCGGUAGAUAUCGGGAAGGGGUCCCAAGCUGGUGAUCUUGGUACGAUGGUAACAUGACAAAGAAUGGACACGGUAUUUACUCAGGUUCGGGCCCUCUUAAAGAGGUAAAACCCUUUGUCUUGCUUUGUUGUAUUGAUUGUGGAUGGGGUAUAGAGUACAUGUUGAUCUACCUCGAGAUCGUAUGUGUGAAUGAACCUCUUUGUAGAUCUAAUGAUCUAAGUUGUAAUGAUCUAUUGACUAUCUUGGCCUCGUUUAUAUAAUGUACCGGAGGCCUAGGAUUUAGAAGAGUCCUCGUCCUGUGCGCCAAGUCUUGUGGAAUAUCCAUUGUAUAUGUCAUGGGCUGCCCGAAGAAUCCUAGUAAUUAAUCGCCAUGAGGGUCCUCGGCCUGGCCCUCCUGUCCGUGAGAUGACAUGGCGAGCACCCCCAACAUGUUCCUUCUGGUCCAUAAAAAAUCUCCGUAAAGUUUUGUGGCAUUUGGACUCUGUCUGAUAUUGAUUUUUUGUGAUGUAAAAAACAUGGAAAAGCAGGAACUAGCACUUGGCACUAUGUCAAUAGUUUAGUACCAAAAAAUGAUAUAAAAUGACUAUAAAAUGAUUAUAAAACAUCCAAAAUUGAUAAUAUAACAACAUGGAACAAUAAAAAAUUAUAGAUACGUUGGAGACGUAUCAGCAUCUCCAAGCUUAACUCCUACUCGUCCUCGAGUAGGUAAGUGAUAAAAAUAGAAUUUUUAAUAUGGAGUGCUGUUUAACAUGUCAUAUCAUAUUCUUUUCUUUAUAGCAUGGACAUUUGGACUUUUUAUGUGAUUCAAAGCAAUAGUCUAGUUUUGACAUAAUAAUUUAGAUACUCAAGCAUAUCAACAAGCAACCAUGUCUUUCAAAAUAUCAACGCUAAAAUGAGUUAUCCCUAGCCCAUUAUGAUCAAACAUUGAUCCAUUCAUGAAACACACUCGAAUAUUAGCUACACCCAAUACUUAAGUACGAUCAUAUUGCCUCCUAGUUGGUGCUUUUUAUAAGAGAAGAUGGAGACUCAAAUUCAAAAAUAAAAAUUGCAUAAAGUAGAAGAAAGGCCCUUCGCAGAGGGAAGUAGGGAUUUAUAGAGGUGCCAGAGCUCAAAGCGAAAAACUUAGAGAUAAAUACAUUUUGGGAAGUGUAUCCAUCCCACCAACUAAUAGUUCCCAAUAUUUUCCAUGCAUAGAUAUAUCAUAGGCGGUUCCCAAAUAGAAAAUAAAGAUUAUUCCUUUUUCCACCAUAACGUUCGCUUUCCAUGGCUAACCGUAUCCACGGGUGCCCUCCAUACCAACACUUUCCAAGGAAUUUAUUAUUUGACAACAUAAAGUAAAUUCAUUUUUGCAUUUCGGGACUGGGCAUCCCUAAUACCUUUGCUUUACUCUCGUGUAAUGACAAGUGAAUAAACACUCAUCUUGAGAAUAACAUAUCUAGCAUGGAAAAUAUUAGCCACCCCUCACCGCUCCGCGAGCGAAACAAACACACAAAAGAGAAGUUUAUUUUGAAAAUUAGAGAUGGCACAUGCAAAUUUGCUUAGAACAACAAAAGAAUACCACAUAUAGGUAGAUAUAGUGGACUCAUGUGGCAAAACUGGGUUAAAGGUUUUUGGAUGCACAAGUAGUGAUCAUACUUAGUGCAAAAUGAAGGCUAGCAAAAGAUUGGGAAGUGACCAACUAAGAAACAGAUAAUCUCAUAAGCAAGCAUUAAGCAUAAUUAACACCGAAUAAUGCACCACAAGUAGGAUAUAAUUUUCAUUGCAUGAUUAUUGACUUUCAUGCAUGCAUAGGGAAUCACAAACCUUAACACCAAUAUUCUUAGUAGAGCACAAUUGCUCAUCAACAUAACUCACAUAUCACAUCAUCAUAUCUCAAAACUAUUACUAAGAAUCAAGUUUAUUUUGUCCAAUGAUCUUCAUGACAUUUUUUUCUUUAUCCUUCUUGGAUAUCUAUCACUUUGGGACUAAUUUUCAUGUGUUUCUUUUCAUAAGCUCAAACAAAUAUAAGUGAAGAUCAUGAGCAUAAUAAAUUUUUCUUUCUCUCAAAAUAAUUUAAGUGAAGCAAGAGAGAAUUUCUUCAAAAAUACUAAGCACACCAUGCUCAAAAAGAUAUAAGUGAAGCACUAGAGAAAGUCCUAGCUCAUAAAAAAAUUUAAGUGAAGUAUAGAGAGCAAUUCUAACAAGUCAUGUCAUAAUUUUGGCUCUCUCUAAUAGGUGUGUCCAGCAAGGAUUGAUGACUUAAAACACAAAAUAAAACAAGCAAAGGCUCAUAUCAUACAGGACGCUCCAAGCAAAAAACAUAUCAUGUGACGAAUAAAAAUAUAGUUUCAAGUAAAAUACCGAUGAUCGUUGGAAGAAAGCGGGGAUGCCACUCGGGGGCAUCCCCAAGCUUAGUUGGUUGCUCAUUUUUGGAUAAUAUCUUGGGAUGCCGGGGCAUCCCUCAGCUUAGGCUCUUCCAUCCUUCCUUCAUCCAUCGUAAGAUAACCCUAAACUUGAAAACUUAAAUCACACAAAACUCAACAAAACCUUCGUGAGAUCCGUUAGUAUAAGAAUAAUAAACCACUACUAUAAGUGUCAAGCACUUUCACCCUAUUCUUCAUGUUUCAAGUGAUCAAUCAGAGUAAAAGGUCAUUCCAGUUUAUGGGGUUCUCGCCGGUUCUGCAAUAGUUUGGUCACGUACUCGUCAGCCACAGCCCAUACACACACUGACAUUGUGCACUCCAGACGGGAAUGCCUUACCCUUGAGGAAUCCAUGUGACCGUGUAUCUUGCAUCUCGUGUAACAUGCAUUCCUAUGAACUACUUCCUCCGUAUCGAUGCAUUAACCAUUUUACGAAAACCAUAUAGUCUCAAAACACUCUGGGGUGGUGCAUUAACUCUCACCUUAUUUCUUAUUUCUUGACAUGAAUAAAUGAAUCAACCAAUAAGAGAUGUGGGGCGUGUAUGUUUUUAAUGAGUUGAGACUACCUACCACGGCAUGCAGUGGUUAAUUCAUUGCAUGCAAUGGUAUUAAUUAGCUAAUGAACAUUACGCUCUCUUGUUUUCCCUUCGUUUUGGUCCUGAUGCACAACGUAAGAUGACUUAGACUACCCAUAGUGGGGAGUAACUUUAGUAACAUGCAUAUGUUACUAGUCUAUGUUACUACCUGCAUAACGAGGAGUAACAUAUGUAUGGUGUCAUGCAAUACUCCAUUUAUUAGGUUAUAGACUCAUCUUGUUUUGGUAUGUGUGAUGUUACUCAUAGUAUGAAUAACAUACAAUGUUACCAUAUGCCUCUUUUUCCUCAUUAAUUUCUUGCCACAUCAUCUAUCAUCUAUUUUACCUAGUUAUGUGUGAUGUUAUCAUCUACUUUACUCUCACUAUGGAGUACGGAGGGAGUGGCAUGAUUCUGCCGUGAGAAGUGAGUGCUUGGCAAGCCGCGACAAAAAUACCCUGAUCUUUACCGGCACUUGGACUCUUCAAAGAGAUGUCCAGUUCUUCUCCAACUGUCUUGUUGGAGUUCGACGCUCUACCUUCCAGCCACGCCUCCCAUCUUCCCUUGGUGCAAGCGAGCAUGAUGAGAACACUUGUUUGCAAAUAGUUUUACUUGUUUUAAGUACCACUUUAUGUAUUACCUUUAACAAAUUUUCCACGGCAAUGCGCAGGGAUCAUCUAAUAGUAUACAAAUAGGUACCCCGAUAGAAAAAAGAUACGUGGGCUCAAUCAGUAGCGGAGAGCGGCAUGGAAGUAAGAUGGGGCCAAUUGAUAAGCCAAAUUAAUAGCACUGGCAAAAUAAAAAAAAUUGUCUCACAUGGGCCAACAAUUACAAAUUUAUUAGGCCUCGUAAGUGGGUUGCGCCUUCCCCUCAGAAGCUCCCCUCCUGAGUUCAACCUUAUUUUUUCUGAGAUACAGGUCCAUUAAUGUACAUGUCUAAUGUCUUAUACUAGUGUGAUUUAUAGAAUUCAAUGCAUAUUUCCAAAGUGCGAUGCAAUAUUGUAGCAAUUUGCCGUUAAUGUUGUAGCUUGUAGAUGUGCAACUAAUGUAUACAUUUAUUUUUUGAUGCAGUACCAUAUCUUAAAAAGUUAAUAUAAUUAAUCUAAUGUUGUAGCCCGUAGAUGUGCAAUUAAUGUACACAUUCCUUUUUUGAUGCAGUAAUAUAUCUUCAAGAUAUAUAUAAUUAAUGUAAUGUUAUACGCCCGUAGAUGUGCAAUUAAUGUACACAUUCAUUUUUUUGAUGCAAUACCAUAUCUUCGAGAUAUAUAUAAUAAUGUAUUGUUGUAGCGUGUAGAUAUGCAACUAAUGUACACAUUCAUUCUUUUCAUGCAGUGCCAUAUCUUCGAGAUAUAUCAUAUAUACAACUAAUGUGUGUAAAACGUGUCGAUAUGAAGUUAAUGUACACAUUUAUUGUUUGAUGCUAUUUCAUAUCUUAAAGGUCUAGCCUGUAGAUAUAAAGUUAAUGUACACAUUCAUUAUUUGAUACAAUAUCUUCAAGAUAUAGAACUAAUGUAUGAUGUAGCCUCUGUUGGAACCGCUCUUUCACACUGAUAGAUGGAGAUAGAAGAAGAAGGAGCACACAAUACAAUGGAGUUUCACCCGGCUUCACAGCCCCGUUAGUCUUCCGAGAGCCCCAAAAACUCUCCCCUCAACAAAUACACUCGUGGUCAUGGCUUUGUAGUGGCACAGCAACGCAGCGCCCAUGUUUCCUUGUGCGCAUGUACGCACGCCGCCUAGCUAGCUACCCUGCAUGCAAUCCAUCAGCCCGGCCAUGCGCACUACAUGCGCGCUACGCGCACGACGCGACCAUCUCCACCGGUCACUACUAACAAUCAGCUAACUAACUCACACGCAACAAGCAAACUUGGCCGGCACACUUGCCAACGCCCUGCUCUACGUGCCAGACUCGAGUGUAUACACGCUACACACACAUACGCCACGCUUCUGCGUCCCGUACGUCCCGCCCGUCCCGCAUGUCACCGACGCGCCCGACAAACCCGACGAGCCCGACGGCACCAGUGUGCCCCGCCCGUCCCGCGCGCACCCGACGCGCCCGACGAGCCCGAUCACACACGCCGUGGCUUAUUCCAACACACACCACUUAAGCCACGGCCUAGAGGAGUCCGUCAUCGUCGAUGUUGGCGCCGGCCAAGAGUGCAUGCUCCGCCGCCGGUCCUUUCCGCAGCUGCGGGCACUUGCGCCGGAAGUGACCGUGCUCCCCGCACUUGUAGCAGCGCCUGCGCCCGUCGUCGUCGUCCCGAGCACCGCCGUGUCGACGCUCCCAUGCUGCCCACUGCACAGCCGUCAUGAGCAGCUGCUCACCUCCGCGCUCGCCGCCAUCUUGUCCACGGCGCCGAACCCGCUCGUCGAACGCACGCAGCCGCCCGAGCGCUUCGUCGAACGCAAUCAUCGUCACAUCGUGGAACUGCUCGAUGCCGGCGACGACGGAGAAGAGGCAAUCCGGCACCAUAUCCAGCAACUUCUUGACAAGUGCCGCGUCGCCCAGCGUCUCCCCGAGGUUGGCAUACCUCGCUGCCAUCGCCGCGAGCCUCCCGCCGUACACGUCGAGCUCCUCGCCGUCCGCCAUCUUCAUCCGGUCGAAUUCGCCACGCAGCGUCCCCAGCCUCGCCGCGCAGACCCGAUCAGCGCCGACGAACCUCACCUUCAGGGAGUCCCAUACCUCCCUGGCGGUGAGCUUCGUCGACACCUUCAGCAGCACAUCCUCCGGCAACGCCCCGAGAAGCAACACGCGCGCCAUCUUGUCCUUCCGCGUGUUCACCGCCGCGUCGCCCAGCGCCACCGCCUCCCAUACGGUGUGGACAUCGAGGAUCGCCUGCGCCUUGAUGGCCCAGACCGUGUAGUUGUCCGCGGUCAGCAAAGGCAUCGCCAUCCUUGCUGAUCCGCUCGCGCCGCCGCCGUGUGGGACGAGCGCCAUGGUCGCCGGUGAUCGCCCGAACCAAAGCUCUGUAUAUCAAUUGUUGGAACCGCUCUCUCACGCUGAUGGAUGGAGAUAGAAGAAGAAGGAGCACAGAGUACAAUGGAGUUUCACCCGGCUUCACAGCCCCGUUACUUUUUCCGGAGCCUCAAAAACUCUCCUCAACAAAUACACUCGUGGUCAUGGCUUUGUAGUGGCACAAUAACGCAGCGCCGACGUUUCCUUGUGCGCACGUACGCACGCUGCCUAGCUAGCUACCCUGCAUGCAAUCCAUCAGCCCGGCCAUGCGCACUACAUGCGCGCUACGCGCACGACGCGGCCAUCUCCACCGGUCACUGCUAACAAUCAACUAACUAACUCACACGCAUCAAGCAAACUUGGCCGGCACACUUGCCAACGCCCUGCUCUACGUGCCAGACUCGAGUGUAUACACGCUACACACACAUACGCCACGCUUCUGCAUCCCGCACGUCCCGCACGUCACCGACGCACCCGACAAGCCCGACGACACCAGUGUGUCCCGCCCGUCCCGCGCGCACCCGACGAGCCCGAUCACACACGCCGUGGCUUAUUCCAACACCUAGAUGUAUAAUUAAUGUAUACAUUAAUUGUCUGACGCGGUGCUAUAUCUUCAUGAUAUACAACUGGUGUAUGCGUCUGUAUCAUCAUCUCAAAGAAGGCUAUAUAUACCAAGACAUAGCUAGCGACAUCAUGUAUCCCACACAUUCACAGAAGCCACACAAAUCCUAUAUUGUACGAUUCUAAUAUCAAAGGGAUAGAGAAGGCUUUAGUGUAGGAGAUACAAAAGCCAUAGCCAUGGCGAAACUCAUGUGCUUAUAUUUCAUCAUCCUCACUAUUGCGGUAGCCGUGUCGGCCGACGAAUGUGAGGGUGACCGACAGACCAUGAUCAAGGAGUGUGCUAAGUAUCAAAAUU